CUACGUGCCAGCAGCCGCGGUAAUACGUAGGUGGCAAGCGUUGUCCGGAAUUAUUGGGCGUAAAGGGCGCGCAGGCGGCUUCUUAAGUCUGUCUUAAAAGUGCGGGGCUUAACCCCGUGAUGGGAUGGAAACUGGGAAGCUCAGAGUAUCGGAGAGGAAAGUGGAAUUCCUAGUGUAGCGGUGAAAUGCGUAGAUAUUAGGAAGAACACCAGUGGCGAAGGCGACUUUCUGGACGAAAACUGACGCUGAGGCGCGAAAGCCAGGGGAGCGAACGGGAUUAGAUACCCCGGUAGUCCUGGCCGUAAACGAUGGGUACUAGGUGUAGGAGGUAUCGACCCCUUCUGUGCCGGAGUUAACGCAAUAAGUACCCCGCCUGGGGAGUACGACCGCAAGGUUGAAACUCAAAGGAAUUGACGGGGGCCCGCACAAGCGGUGGAGUAUGUGGUUUAAUUCGACGCAACGCGAAGAACCUUACCAGGUCUUGACAUUGAUGGACAGAACUAGAGAUAG
rnacentral:rRNA from 1 species